UGCAGUCGAGCGGACAGAAGGGAGCUUGCUCCCGGAUGUUAGCGGCGGACGGGUGAGUAACACGUGGGUAACCUGCCUGUAAGACUGGGAUAACUCCGGGAAACCGGAGCUAAUACCGGAUAGUUCCUUGAACCGCAUGGUUCAAGGAUGAAAGACGGUUUCGGCUGUCACUUACAGAUGGACCCGCGGCGCAUUAGCUAGUUGGUGGGGUAAUGGCUCACCAAGGCGACGAUGCGUAGCCGACCUGAGAGGGUGAUCGGCCACACUGGGACUGAGACACGGCCCAGACUCCUACGGGAGGCAGCAGUAGGGAAUCUUCCGCAAUGGACGAAAGUCUGACGGAGCAACGCCGCGUGAGUGAUGAAGGUUUUCGGAUCGUAAAGCUCUGUUGUUAGGGAAGAACAAGUGCGAGAGUAACUGCUCGCACCUUGACGGUACCUAACCAGAAAGCCACGGCUAACUACGUGCCAGCAGCCGCGGUAAUACGUAGGUGGCAAGCGUUGUCCGGAAUUAUUGGGCGUAAAGGGCUCGCAGGCGGUUUCUUAAGUCUGAUGUGAAAGCCCCCGGCUCAACCGGGGAGGGUCAUUGGAAACUGGGAAACUUGAGUGCAGAAGAGGAGAGUGGAAUUCCACGUGUAGCGGUGAAAUGCGUAGAGAUGUGGAGGAACACCAGUGGCGAAGGCGACUCUCUGGUCUGUAACUGACGCUGAGGAGCGAAAGCGUGGGGAGCGAACAGGAUUAGAUACCCUGGUAGUCCACGCCGUAAACGAUGAGUGCUAAGUGUUAGGGGGUUUCCGCCCCUUAGUGCUGCAGCUAACGCAUUAAGCACUCCGCCUGGGGAGUACGGUCGCAAGACUGANACUCAAACGAAUUGACGGGGGCCCGCACAAGCAGAGGAGCAUGUGGUGUAAUUCGAAGCAACGCAAAGAACCUUACCAUGUCUUGACAUCCUCUGACAACCCUACAGAUAAGAGAUUUCCCUUUCG
rnacentral:rRNA from 1 species